rnacentral:rRNA from 1 species
UGAGGAAUAUUGGUCAAUGGGGGAAACCCUGAACCAGCGACGCCGCGUGAGGGAUGAAGGGGCUUUGCCUUGUAAACCUCUGUCAGAUGGGAGGAGAGUCACCUUAGAGGUGAUGGGACAGUACCAUCGAAGGAAGGAUCGGCUAACUACGUGCCAGCAGCCGCGGUAAUACGUAGGAUCCAAGCGUUGUCCGGAGUUACUGGGUGUAAAGGGUGCGUAGGCGGCUAUCUGCGUCAGAAGUGAAAUAUAACGGCUUAACCGUUGGAAUGCUUUUGAUACGGGAUAGCUUGAGUAUGACAGAGGCGAGUAGAAUUCCUGGUGUAGCGGUGAAAUGCGUAGAUAUCAGGAGGAAUACCAGUGGCGAAGGCGGCUCGCUGGGUCAUAACUGACGCUGAGGCACGAAAGCGUGGGGAGCAAACAGG